ACAGGCGUCGGAGUAGACUUUCGAAGAUGGCUCACUCUCACUGCUCUGCUGUAGUCCUGUGCCAGACCGGGGAAGAGAUGGACAGCGAUGAUUCCUACGACCUCGAACUGGAGAGUGAGGAUGCCUACGACUCUUCCUCAGAUCUCAGUAGUGUUGAUUCUGACGAAGAAUAUUGCCGUUAUGUGCUGAGAAUCGACCCUGUGCAGGACACCUCUCAUAAGACGAAGAAGCGCACUCUGGACGAGUCACAGAAUCUUCAGGACAUUGGGCCUUCACGGAAGAAGCUCUCAGCAGAUUCACCCUGGCACGCCAAAACCGGAUGAGUCUGUCUUCUGCAACUCAGCAAAUAAGUUCAGGAAUAUCCUGUCUCUCCUUCUAUGGAAGGAGCCUGUUGCCAAAACUGUAAAACGCACGACAGGAAGAGGAGUUCUGAGGAUAUUUUCAAAAUGUAUCAACACACAUUCAGAGCUUUGCUCACAUCAAAGCAUGACCAGAGCCUUGUUCACAUGACUUGAGCUUGAUAAAGUAACGUGGAAAGGGACGCUGAUGCAUCUUCAGCAACUUUGUGACUUUGAAGGCUGUUUUGAGCACCUAUCCUCACUUCUGAAGAUUUCUCUAGCAAGGUUUGUGCACAGGUGCACAGCCAGAUGCAUUGGAGCAAUUGGUGUGGGAUGUUUACCUCUGUAUGGAUCUGCACAGUCUGCUAUGCAGCAGGAGUUUAUCUUUUUACUUGCUCUUAUUGUAGCCAUUGAUUAAUGUUGUAUUGUAGAUUGUUUGAAGGGGGCCUAUAUUUAUUAUUAAUAAA